UGUGUUUGUGUGUGUGUGUGUGUGUGUGUGUGUGUGUCUGUCUUUGUGCUCACAGUAAGGGGGACUAAACACCUACAGUAAACAUUAUGUGGCUCACACACACACACACACACACACACACACACACACA